rnacentral:lncRNA from 1 species
CUUGAACUCACCGGUGACGUGGCCCUCACGUGAGCAGGAGCGGCGUUUGCAGACGUCCUUCUAAUCCUAGUCCUGGUUUGGUCCGGUUACCAGCUCCUUAUUGCCCCGAGGGCGGGCGGGCCUGUAGCCAGGGAAGCAGGAGGAGGUAACUGCCCGCAUCCCAGCAGGUUUGCAAGACGCAGUGGACUUCCAGGCAAGGAAGAGAAGAAACUGCCUGGACCUGUGCGGGUGUAUGUGGGGGUGCCACUACCCCCAGGACAUCUGGAGGGGUAGGGGAGGUUCUGGUGUAUCUGCAAGCUGCAACCGGGCCUGUGGGCUGUAGCUGAAGACUCCGCCCCCAACACAGGAGCACUCCUCUGGGCCAGAGCAAUCCCACUCUACCCUGAUUAAGAAUUUGGUUC